AUGUUAUUUCCUCCGUCCAACAAAAGAUGUCUCAACUUUGACUAAAUUUGAAUGCAUCUAUACACUAAGUCAUGUCUAAAUACAUCCAAAUUUUGACAAACUUGAGACAUCUUUUGUUGGACCGAGGAAUUAUGUC
rfam:Brachypodium distachyon strain Bd21 chromosome 2, whole genome shotgun sequence.